GAUGAACGCUAGCGGCAGGCCUAACACAUGCAAGUCGAGGGAUAAGCCUUCGGGCUGAAGCCGGCGCACGGGUGCGUAACGCGUAUACAAUCUGCCUUACACAUAGGGAUAGCUCGGGGUAAUUUGGAUUAAUACCUAAUGGUAUAUAAGAGUGGCAUCAUUUUUAUAUUAAAGCUUUGGUGGUGAAAGCUGAGGCGGCGUUCUAUUAGCUAGUUGGAGAGGUAAGGGCUCGCCAAGGCGACGAUAGCUAGGGGUUCUGAGAGGCAUGUCCCCCACACGGGUACUGAGAUACGGACCAGUAAGCUACGGGAGGGAGCAGUGAGGAAGAUUGGACAAUGGACGGAAGACUGAUCCAGCCAUGCCGCGUGCAGGAACACGGUGCUAGGGAUUGUAGACUGCUGGUGUAAGGGAGGAAUAGGGAGUACGUGUACUUUGAUGACGGUAACUUACGAAUAAGCAUCGGCUAACUCCGUG
rnacentral:rRNA from 1 species